UGCGUAGGCGGGUCUUUAAGUCAGGGGUGAAGUCCUGGAGCUCAACUCCAGAACUGCCUUUGAUACUGAAGAUCUUGAGUUCGGGAGAGGUGAGUGGAACUGCGAGUGUAGAGGUGAAAUUCGUAGAUAUUCGCAAGAACACCAGUGGCGAAGGCGGCUCACUGGCCCGAUACUGACGCUGAGGCACGAAAGCGUGGGGAGCAAACA
rnacentral:rRNA from 1 species